GAUGAACGCUGGCGGCGUGCCUAAUACAUGCCAGUCGAGCGAACAGACGAGGAGCUUGCUCCUUUGACGUUAGCGGCGGACGGGUGAGUAACACGUAGGUAACCUACCUAUAAGACUGGGAUAACUUCGGGAAACCGGAGCUAAUACCGGAUAAUAUUUCGAACCGCAUGGUUCGAUAGUGAAAGAUGGCUUUGCUAUCACUUAUAGAUGGACCUGCGCCGUAUUAGCUAGUUGGUAAGGUAACGGCUUACCAAGGCAACGAUACGUAGCCGACCUGAGAGGGGGAUCGGCCACACUGGAACUGAGACACGGUCCAGACUCCUACGGGAGGCAGCAGUAGGGAAUCUUCCGCAAUGGGCGAAAGCCUGACGGAGCAACGCCGCGUGAGUGAUGAAGGUCUUCGGAUCGUAAAACUCUGUUAUUAGGGAAGAACAAACGUGUAAGUAACUGUGCACGUCUUGACGGUACCUAAUCAGAAAGCCACGGCUAACUACGUG
rnacentral:rRNA from 1 species